GAUGAACGCUGGCGGCGUGCCUAAUACAUGCAAGUCGAGCGAACGGACGAGAAGCUUGCUUCUCUGAUGUUAGCGGCGGACGGGUGAGUAACACGUGGAUAACCUACCUAUAAGACUGGGAUAACUUCGGGAAACCGUAGCUAAUACCGGAUAAUAUUUUGAACCGCAUGGUUCAAAAGUGAAAGACGGUCUUGCUGUCACUUAUAGAUGGAUCCGCGCUGCAUUAGCUAGUUGGUAAGGUAACGGCUUACCAAGGCAACGAUGCAUAGCCGACCUGAGAGGGUGAUAGGCCACACUAGAACUGAAACACGGUACAGACUCCUACGGGAGGCAGCAGUAGGGAAUCUUCCGCAAUGGGCGAAAGCCUGACGGAGCAAAGCCGCGUGAGUGAUGAAGGUAUUCGGAUAGUAAAACUCUGUUAUUAGGGAAGAACAUAUGUGUAAGUAACUGUGCACAACUUGACGGUACCUAAUCAGAAAGCCACGGCUAACUACGUG
rnacentral:rRNA from 1 species